rnacentral:lncRNA from 1 species
GCACCGCCGUCGCCGCCACCACCGCGGGGCGGGGCCCAGGCCGGGGGCGGGGCGCCGGGCGAGCGCGGCGCUAUUUCCAGCCUUGCCGGAGGCUUCGCUCGCACUUCGCUGGGAGCCUCUCGGCGCGCUGGCCGGAUCCGCCGGUGGUGGAGAGAGGAGAAGGCGGCGGCGGGAGGCGGGGGACCAACCGGAGCCGGGGGCCGAGGAGGAACACGCCACCGCGCCCUCUCCGUCUCCUGCGCGCUCUAGCCGCCGGCCCCACGCCGCUCGCCUCACCCACCGCACGGGGUUCUUCUCGGAGUGGGAGGAGGCGCCGGGCCCGAGCUGGGGCGGAGGUCCUCCCUGUCGCCCGGGAGCCCCGGAGCGGAGGAUUCGCUGUGGAGGACCGCGCCGGCGGCCCCGGGAGCGCCGGCUGCGUCAGCUCCCUGGCUGACGUGUGAUGGAUACCUACGCGUCUCUCUUGGUCCAAAGACACUGUCAGAGCCUCCUCGUGAGUAAGGAGAUCAUCAAGCUUUAUUUGUACUUUGUUGGAAGGUGUUUAACGAUAAAAAUUAUCAAAACUCCUGUCUUUCACCACUGAGAACCGCUGCUUGUGUUUUCCACAAAUGAAAGUGGACUUUCACGGGCUUAGUGUACUCUGCAGCGCCUGGUCCCUCCGUCCCUCCCACCCCAGUGUUAAUUACCCGGCUUAAGUGAAGAAGGGCGCUGGAGGGGAGGAGGCACCAGACCGCUGUCAGGGCCGAGCCCCGGGGGUUUUCGCAAGGGGAAAUUUGAUCUUGGGCAAAUGUCAGGGUGGUUUUGAAAUCUGUGUUAUGAUAUCAGCUCAUUGCCAGCGUAGAGCUUCAUCUGGAUUUCAUAAAUAUUGUAUGGGGCUCUCUUACAGCCACCUCGGCCUGCUGGGGAUCAUGACAGCCACCCCCCAACACACAUACACACACCCCAUCACAAUUGCAAUCUAGGGCAGAGUUGUCAGGAAAAGCCAAUUGAUGAUAUUUCAAUCACGAUGUUCUCGUAAAGAAUUCCAUUCAAAUUCCUUUGGAAAGGGAGUUAAGGCUUCCGGCUGCGGCUGGGAGAAUGAUAUGCUAAAUGUAGCUUCCUGGGGCCCUGGCAGCCAUCCAGGCUCUGUAAUUUAUAAAUCUCCUUGUUGGUUCUCCAAGUGACCUUGGAACCUCCAUGCUGGUGAAUUCCUUAGGUUCACACGUUGCCCUCCGUCCUCUUGGGAGAACGGUCCCCAGACGAGCGCCCCCAGCACCCAUCAGGCUGGAGCUUGAGAGAAAGGAUGUGAGCAGGGCGCCUGGGCAGCACGUGGCAGGUGACUGGAAGAUUGCUGGUUGCUGCUGACCUUCCCUCUGAAAUUUGUCAGCUACGAAACGGUCCGAUAUUGCGUUUAAAGGCAGCCUGCAGGUGAUGGGAGCCUCUGUGCCGCCCCAGCCCACAGCA